rnacentral:rRNA from 1 species
AUGAACGCUGGCGGCGUGCCUAACACAUGCAAGUCGAACGGGAAAGGUCGCAAGACUGAGUAGAGUGGCGGACGGGUGAGUAAAAUAUAGGAAUCUGCCCUUUAGAGGAGAAUACCAUUGAGAAAUCGAUGUUAAUACUGCAUAAGCCCAGAGAUGGGGAAAGGUGGCCUAAUAGCUACCGCUAAAGGAUGAGCCUGUAACCUAUUAGCUAGUUGGUGGGGUAAGAGCCUACCAAGGCAGAGAUGGGUAACCGGCCUGAGAGGGUGUACGGUCACACUGGAACUGAGACACGGUCCAGACUCCUACGGGAGGCAGCAGUGGGGGAUAUUGCACAAUGGGCGCAAGCCUGAUGCAGCGACGCCGCGUGGAGGAUGAAGGUUUUCGGAUUGUAAACUCCUGUUACGUGGGAAAAAAUGCUCUGUUUUAAUAGAACAGAGAGCUGAUGGUACCACGAGAGAAAGCACCGGCAAACUUCGU